AUGCACGCUGGCGGCGUGCCUCAUCCCUGCCAGUCGCGCGAACAGACGAGGAGCUUGCUCCUCUGACGUUAGCGGCGGACGGGUGAGUAACACGUGGAUAACCUACCUAUAAGACUGGGAUAACUUCGGGAAACCGGAGCUAAUACCGGAUAAUAUAUUGAACCGCAUGGUUCAAUAGUGAAAGACGGUUUUGCUGUCACUUAUAGAUGGAUCCGCGCCGCAUUAGCUAGUUGGUAAGGUAACGGCUUACCAAGGCGACGAUGCGUAGCCGACCUGAGAGGGUGAUCGGCCACACUGGAACUGAGACACGGUCCAGACUCCUACGGGAGGCAGCAGUAGGGAAUCUUCCGCAAUGGGCGAAAGCCUGACGGAGCAACGCCGCGUGAGUGAUGAAGGUCUUCGGAUCGUAAAACUCUGUUAUUAGGGAAGAACAAAUGUGUAAGUAACUAUGCACGUCUUGACGGUACCUAAUCAGAAAGCCACGGCUAACUACGUG
rnacentral:rRNA from 1 species